UGGGUGAUCUGCCCUGCACUUUGGGAUAAGCCUGGGAAACUGGAUCUAAUACCGGAUAUGACUCCUCAUCGCAUGGUGGGGGGUGGAGAGCUUUUUUGUGGUUUUGGAUGGACUCGCGGCCUAUCAGCUUGUUGGUGAGGUAAUGGCUCACCAAGGCGACGACGGGUAGCCGGCCUGAGAGGGUGACCGGCCACACGUGGGACUGAGACACGGCCCAGACCUCCGUACGGGAGCA
rnacentral:rRNA from 1 species